CCAUGAAUGGCAUUGCCACUGAGAUGAGAUUUCCCCAGUGCGUUUCACUCUCCUGAUAUCUCUGGAAGACCCAAGCCCAGAACAUCACUGCUCAUCACCCAGGACUCUGCCAUGAGUGACCUGACUUCAGUGUCUUCACCCAUGAGGGAUGGGACAGGCAGCUGGUGGGGGCAGGUAUCAUUCUAGACACUGGAAGCAUAAGAGAAGUAAGACAGGCAAGAUCUUCAGGUUCUAAAACGGUUGGCUGAACAGGCACAAACCAAGAAAAUAUCUGAACUAAGGUGAACACUAGUGAAACCGAAGGAGAAAAACAAACUGCCUCAGUCUUCACCAAAGAAUACUUCAAGCCUGCCCACAUCUGGUCAUUGACCAAGCUCUUAUUGAAUGCAGUUUUAUUGACAGUGAUGAGAUUACAAAAUAACACUACCAUACAUGUUCUGUUGUUCUUUAUAUAGUACCAGAAUGUUCUAAGCAUACAGAAAUUUUCUGCCAAAACUUGC
rnacentral:lncRNA from 1 species